GACGAACGCUGGCGGCGUGCCUAAUACAUGCAAGUCGAACGCAGUUGCGAACGGGUGAGUAACGCGUAGGUAACUGCCUCAUAGCGGGGGAUAACUAUUGGAAACGCUAGCUAAUACCGCAUACUGCGGGAUGGACCUGCGUUGUAUUAGCUAGUUGGUGAGGUAAAGGCUCACCAAGGCGACGAUACAUAGCCGACCUGAGAGGGGUAUCGGGCAAACUGGGACUGGAGAACGGCCCAGACUCCUACGGGAAGCAGCAGGAGGGAAUCUUCGGGAAAGGACCGAAAGCUGACCGAGCAACGGCGGGGGAGGUGAGAAGGUUUUCGGAACGUAAAGCUUUGUUGUUAGGGAAGCGGUAUCUAACCAGAAAGGGACGGCUAACUACGUGCCAGCAGCCGCGGUAAUAC
rnacentral:rRNA from 1 species